GAUGAACGCUGGCGGCGUGCUUAACACAUGCAAGUCGAACGAUGAAGCUCAGCUUGCUGGGUGGAUUAGUGGCGAACGGGUGAGUAACACGUGAGUAACCUGCUCUUAACUCUGGGAUAAGCCUGGGAAACUAGGUCUAAUACCGUAUAGGAGCGUCCACCGCACGGUGGGUGUUGGAAAGAUUUAGCGCAUUUGGAUGGACUCGCGGCGUAUCAGCUUGGUGGUGGGGUAAUGGCUCACCAAGGCGACGACGGGUAGCCGGCCUGAGAGGGUGAACGGCCACACUGGGACUGAGAGACGGCCCAGACUCCUACGGGAGGCAGCAGUGGGGAAUAUUGCACAAUGGGCGAAAGCCUGAUGCAGAGGCGCCGCGUGAGGGAUGACGGCCUUCGGGUUGUAAACCUCUUUCAGUAGGGAAGAAGCGAAAGUGACGGUACCUGAAGAAGAAGCACCGGCUAACUACGUG
rnacentral:rRNA from 1 species